rnacentral:rRNA from 1 species
UACGAAGGGGGCAAGCGUCGUUCGGAAUUACUGGGCGUAAAGGGCGCGUAGGCGGCUUGCCAAGUCAGGCGUGAAAUUCCCGGGCUCAACCUGGGGGCUGCGCUUGAUACUGGCUGGCUUGAAUGCGGGAGAGGAUAGUGGAAUUCCCAGUGUAGAGGUGAAAUUCGUAGAUAUUGGGAAGAACACCGGUGGCGAAGGCGGCUAUCUGGCCCGUGAUUGACGCUGAGGCGCGAAAGCGUGGGGAGCAAACAGG